GAGGGUAUAGCUCAAGUGGUAGAGGGCAUGCUUAGCAUGCAUGAGGUUUUGGGUUCAAUCCCCAGUACCUCCU
rnacentral:tRNA from 1 species